UUAAUGAACAACAAGGGGAAUAUUUCAGCUACACAAACUAGUUGGGCUGUCGUAUAGUAGGCCUAUCCAUCAUCAAUAGGCAAGGUCUUGAUCAAUAGGGUUAUUUCAUCAUCUUUCAAUCUUGUCUGCCAUUUGUUGUUUUCGGAGGUUUGUUAUGGCGUUUCCAAGGUGUAUGUUGGCGUCUUUGCCCCAUGCAGAGGCUUUGAGGCAGUCAAGGCGUGUCUAUUUUUGGAAUAGCCUAUUCACCAAAACUGUCCUGCAUGAAUAGAGCGAACGAUGGGUUGUCUGAACAUGUUCUUGUUCUGAUUUGGUAAGCAGUCUUUUCACAAGUAAGCUCUUGUCCUCAUGUUGGAAAAUAGCCCAGAGAAGUGCACAUUGUCAAUUUGUAAGCCUGUUGUCCGUUUGCCAACACUUGAACAAGGAGUGUCCUCAUGACCGUAACCUAACCUAACUGUCCAAGAUUUAGUUCAAGCAGGGAACCUCCCUAUAGUUUAAGGGAUCAUGUCCAAAUUUUAACAACCGCCAAAGAGCAUUUCAGCUAAGUACGUUUAUGGAAAUGAAAACCUAGUAUGCUUUAUUUCGUAGAGAUUGACAAUUUUAGAGCUGUGUUAUCUUCAGCUGCCGCCUGAGGAUAUUUUGGUUCAAUUGACAAAAUAAAGUAAUGUGAUUUGCAUAUGUUAUCCAAUAAGAUAGCUCCAUAUUGAUAUGAACAUCAAUGUAUUUGGUGAAAAAGGAGACACUCCUGCGGCUCGUACUUGAGAACACUCCAAAGGCGAACAGUGGCUGGCCUUGUUGUUACAAACAUAGUAUCAGAAAACAACAGCGAAAAUGAAGAGAGGAGCAUCAAAUCUCUUUUUCUUUGCAAUUGUAAUUUUCGCUUGCACAAAAGGUCUCCAAACUAUCAGUUGUUUUCUUGGCGCCAAGGCUGGGAAUGCUGAUCCUGCUUGGACGCAGCUAUCGUGUCCUGAUGGCAUAUCGACGUGUGUCAGUUACGACCAAACUCUUCUUAGUGUGACAUCUCGCGCAUUUUCGUGUGGACCAUGCCAGACGUCGUUGGUGAAGUGCAACGAGUGUGAUACGGACCUCUGUAACAGUGCAAGGACAAUUAUGCCAAACUCCUUCCUGAUAACUUUCGUCUUUACUGUUUAUACUGGGUUGCUGCUUUGUUUGGCUAUGUAAUAUGUCAACAUUAUAAACAGGUCACGGACUACCGUACCGCGUUGAUUAAAGACUCCCACAGCUGAGGCAUGCUAACAGAAAAGGACGUCAUUUACAGACAUGUAAACGUCGCAUCUUGUCGUCUCAAUCCUAUUCACCAGCUAUUUUUAUUGCUCUGUGAAAAAAAGUCAAUAUUGCUCUGCUAUUCUACAAAUUUUGCGAAUGCAAGGAACAACAACAAAGAGCAAAGGCCUACGUGCGUAAACCUGUUUUGCGUCAAGUAGGUUCAAACUUGUACGGUCAUGCAUCGCCUCAAUCGACAUACCUCGAUGCGACUUAUUAUGCUGACUUGACAACGGGAAAAAGCUUAAAAAACUGAAAUAACUUUAAUAAAGGGAAAAAGCCUAAAAAAACUUAAAGGUCAUAUAUCAAGGUUUGAAAACAUUCUUGAUACUCAUGAAAUAUGUUGAGGGUUAAAAAAACAAGAUCCCAGACAUUAAAAAAAUUCUAAUAAUAAAGUCAUUAUUUAGUUAUUUCAAUUUUCAAUUUGAAACUAUUUGAAUUUCCCACCACACACAACUUUAGAUUAGUUCCACAUGUGGCCGCUAGGGAUUUUUUGAUGACGUAGGUCAGGUCAGUCAGAACAAAGCAAGAUGGCUUCCGCAUACAGUUCAGAGAGUGAGAGCAGUGAAUUUGAGGAUGUUUUGGUCGAUACAGAAGGAUAUUUAAACGUUGAGCCAUACAUGUUCGAGCCAUUGAUAUCACUAGAUCAUAAUGAGAGUGAUCAUUCGGACGAAAGUGAUUAGAAUUUGUGGUUAAUCAAUUUGCAUGGCAGACCUGCCGAUAUAGCAAAGAAGACAUUGAUAGAUAUGGUUGCAGAUGCAUAACAUGUAUGAUUUUUGAACAGACUAAUGUUGCACAAUAUUGUUUCGCCUCGUCUGUGUUGUAUCGCCAGUUAUGUCAUGACGCUGAACUACUAUUGAAAAGUGACGGUAUUAUGCACAAUCAUCUUGACGUGACGAUAUAAUGCCGUGCAACGUUAGAUAGGCCUAGAUGUCAGAUGACAAUAAUCUGUCAUUGACAGUGGCUGUCACAGACACUGACCUGUGUCGCUGUCACCUCGCUGUCAGUGUCACCUUGCUAUGGCUGGAACACAAGAAGACACUAUGCGGUAUCACAGGCCCCAAUAGGGCCUACACAUUAUGUAUAACAACCGACCUCAGCAGCCUCGGGCAUUAAAUGCAAUUGACAUGGUUGUGUAGCCACUGUACAGUGGAUGACAUGUGCCAUUUGGGUAGUAUGAGUGUUGUGUGCAUCAGCAGUGUAUAAAUCAUGAAAUAGUGUUCAACUCA